AGUACUGACUCUGACAGUACUGACUCUGACAGUAACUGACUCUGACAGUACUGACUUUGUUACUGUAACUGACUCUGACUGUAACUGACAGUUGAAUCAUAAACCGUUUGUCUCCGUUUAUUUUCCUUCUACUUUCACCUCACGUUGUUUAUUUCAGCUGUCCUCCAACUUUGGAUUCACAGCGCCCCCUUCAGCUCCCUCUGGGCAUGGGUAGAAGUAUGAAAGUAGUAAAGAUUCUUCAGUUCUGACCCAGGAACUCUUUCAAAGCUUAAAUUCUGUUUGGUCCAGUUACUCACAGUGAGCUCACGGAAAACUCAGUGAAAACUCGUUGUGUUCCUGGAGGUGGAAACGAUAACAACAGAGUCCAGAGGAGGAACCGGACCAGGGCCACUCUGGUCCAACUGAAAGGUUAAAAGGUCAAAUGAAGAGAAGUUUAAACAGCACUGGACCUGGACCUGGACCUGGACAGAGGAGCUGGUUCUUCAGGCCAAGUCUCAGAUAAGUUUGUUCUCAUACUUCAGCUCUGACUCCAGAGUCUCUGGUCUGAGUCCAGCAGACGGGUGUGGACCAGACCAGAGAACCUGGUCGAAUACUUCAACUGUAGGCCAGGAACUGAAACCAUGGACGAUAAAGACAAAAGACAAAGGAAUCAGAACUGGAGAAGGAACUGCUUUGUUUUGGUUUUUAUUGUGGUUUGAAAAGUGAUCACAUGCACAGCCAUGUCUGAGCUCAAAGUUAAAUGUUUUAUUGGAUUAGCAAACCAGAGCAAAGUCCAAACACCAGGAACUAAAGUCAGCGCUGACAGGAAGUGAAGAACAGGAAGUGGUUUCUCUACAAAGUGAAAUGUUUGCUGUUUAAUUUCUGGGUGACGUCACCUCUCCAGUGGAUUAGAACAAAACAUUGUUCAGGUGACUCAGGCAGAGUUGACUGCACUAAGAGCACCCCCUGCUGUUGGAACCACCCUGAUGCAGAGGCUGAAUUCAGUUUAUAGACUGAACAUUAGCUCUGGUGCAGAAAGAAAAACCUGAAAAUCAGAGAUUUUAGUCCAGACCAAAGUCCAUGGAGAAAAUCAGAGAUUUUAGUUCAGACCAAAGUCCAUGGAGAAAAUCAGAGAUUAAAUAAAUAAAUGAAACACAGUUCUGAAGCACAGCUGCUAACACUGAACAAUGGCAAAUAUUUUUGUCAUUUGUUUUACCUGGGAGGGUAAUUAUAGCUCCCCUAGAACAAUCACUUGCACCUGCUAAAUGCCACUUAGUGAAAAUUUGGAUUCUUGUAAAUAAUAACAAUGUUGAGGUGGAAUUAUUCCAUCGUUCUAGUUCUGUCGUCUCAUUCUAGAGUAACUUGGAAUUCCCUCAUUAAAAAAAACUAAAGAUCUGAUUAAAAAAAAAUACUGCAAACCUCACAGACAGGUGGCACUAGUCUCUACUUUGAGUCUGAAUCAGCAGUGUAAAAAUGUCAAACGUUUCAAGCCAGUACCUCUCUUCACCAACAGGGGCAUCUGUCAUCAGUGGGUGGUGCAAUUGCGCCUGUGCUUCCAAACAUGAGAAAAGAAAAGAUGAAGCUAACAUUAAGCUAUAAUGUAGGCUGCCCUGUGGGGGCGCUCUUUGCAGCUCGGCCUUUGAUUAAGACUCGAUUUACAACAAAAUAUAAA